rnacentral:rRNA from 3 species
GAAUCAAUUUGUUGGUCGUGCCUCGGUACGUACUGGUAUUAUUGGUUUCUACCUUCUGAAGAACCUUGAUGUCAUUAAUUUGGUGUCUUGGGGAAUCAGGACUGUUACUUUGAAAAAAUUAGAGUGUUUAAAGCAAGCAUACGCUUGAAUACAUUAGCAUGGAAUAAUGAAAUAGGACGUUUGAUUCUAUUUUGUUGGUUUCUAGGAUCGACGUA